GCAUCGGUAGUUCAGUGGUAGAACUCUCGCCCGCCACGCGAGUGGCCCAGGUUCGACUCCUGGCUGAUGCA